AUUGAACGCUAGCGGAAUGCCUUACACAUGCAAGUCGAGCGGAGCGGCGGACGGGUGAGUAAUGCCUAGGAACCUGCCCGGUAGUGGGGGAUACCGACCGGAAAGGGGCGCUAAUACCGCAUACUAUUAGAUAUGCCUAGAGCGGAUUAGCUAGUUGGUGGGGGAAAGGCCUACAAAGGCGACGAUCCGGAACUGGUUUGAGAGGAUGAUCAGUCACACUGGAACUGAGACACGGUCCAGACUCCUACGGGAGGCAGCAGUGGGGAAUAUUGGACAAUGGGCGAAAGCCUGAUCCAGCCAUGCCGCGUGUGGGAAGAAGGUCUUCGGAUUGUAAAGCACUUUAAGUUGGGAGGCGUUACCAACAGAAUAAGCACCGGCUAACUUCGUGCCAGCAGCCGCGGUAAUUC
rnacentral:rRNA from 1 species